AGGUUGGCGGCACGUCGGCCGGCGCCCGCGCGCUGGAACUGCGCGCCACCGGCACCGUGGUGAAGUUCGACGGCUUCCUCACCCUC
rnacentral:tRNA from 1 species